ACUAAAUGAUAUAAGAAAUGUUCAAUGUUUUGGUUUUUGCUCGGCGUAAGAUGACUUGCUAUGCGGGCAUAAAUAAAUGAUUUCUGGGAUACGUUAAUUGCUCUAUCGCUCCAGACCCUAGGCGAUAUUCUCACAUUGAACACACAUCAGUGUUAUGGCCAUGCUAUAGCCCCGAGUCUCGCUUUCUUGGGGGUGUCCAUAUUAAAAAAGAGACAUACAUUUUAUUUUACGAUUAUAACAAAUAAUUCACUUCUUUGUCUCGAGAAAAAUUUUAAAUUAGAAGAAACUGGCAACUCUUUUAAGAGAUUUUAAAUAUAGUACAAUUUUACAUCAAUUUAAAUUGUGAAAAUAAACGUUAAUUCAACGAAUAAAGAAAAUAAUUAUAGACGUUGUUUUCUAGUAUAUGUACAUAAUAAUUGCUAUUAAGUUUUCUACACUAUUAACUAAUGUUAUUCGCCGAAGAUAUUUUAGCUGCACUUUGAAUUUCAAGAAACUAGGGGUGGAGGCGCUGAAGCCGGUGCAGUUUGUCGAUGAUCUUAGGCGCAUGUGAGCGGUUUUAGAAGAGCUUUAUGUAGUGCAAAAUAUUGUACUCGAUAUAUGACAAUGGGUAUUAUAAAUGACAAACAGAAUCAAACCGUUAAUGCGGAAUCGAGGGAGGUGCAAAAAUCUGACAAACCAUUGAAACCUUGCUGCGCUUGUCCUGAAACGAAGAAGGCAAGGGACGAUUGCAUUAUCCUACUAGGUGAAGAAAACUGUAAAGAUUUGAUAGAAGCGCAUAAAACUUGUAUGCGGUCAUUAGGAUUUAACAUAUAAAUAUAAAUUAGCUAUAUAUUAUAAUUAUUAUAUAACAUGUUCAGGUUGCAUUUUGAACGAAAAAUGAAGUAAACAGCGUUUACUUCGUGUAACUGAUUUAGUAUUUCUCAAAACAAUGUUAACAUACUAAGCAAUUUGUUUAGAAAUAAACAAGUUAUUUUAUUUGUA